GGCCGCUACUCCAUGGGGCGGUUACAAGCCCAAUUCAUCCCCCCGCAAAGGCUGAGCUCGCGAAGACCCCGGCCCACAGGAACAAAGGGGUGGGGGUGGGGACUGCGUUGUCUCAGCGACUGAGAGGACGAGAAAGGGGGCAGUGGCGGCUCCUCCUGCCUGUGUCCGAACCCAAACAGCCCCGUGAGUGGGACGCGCAUCGCCCCGCACUGGGCUUUGCGAACAAAGGGCUGCGCGCUUCGGCCAGGCGGAGCAGGAAAGGAAUGCCCCGGGCAAGGCGGGCGCUCUUCUGGAACCUUCGGGCGGGAGCCUCCGCCGGGCCCACACCGGGAACGCCCCGAGCAGGCCCGCGGCAACUCCCCGUGGACCAGGCCGGCCAGGUGCAGGAGCACCGAGACCCGGAACCUCGCUCCCCGCACAGCGGGGCACGGGCCGGCCAAUCCCCGCUGUGGAUGAUGGGGAAAGGUGCUUCCACAGCCCCGGCGUGAGACAGGACGACAGGCCGCCGGGGAGAGGAAACUCCCGGGCGGGGAAGGGAACCUGGAGACCCAGAGGGAAAGAGGAGUCCGGGGAGGGCUGGAGCAGAGGAAGCCAGAACGCGGGAGGGGGUGGCCGGGCCCAGACCGGAGUGCGGGGAGAUACGCUCAGAGUUUUGGGUGAAGGUGAUCCAAGAUUGCAGCAAGACCUGGUGUAAAGGAAUGACCAGAAUAAGAACAUGUAAGGCUGUCUCUUACCCUCAUUGUGAUAUCCAGUAUAUGUUCCACAGCUAAUCUGUUUCCAGAACUCCCACUGAAUUCAACAAGUAACAGCCUGCACAGAAAGAGUGUGGAAUAGAGAUCCAUACUGAAGACAAAAUAGGAAUUGCCAGCCAGACCAGAUCAGAUCCAUGGUCCACCUAGGAAGGAGAGCCAAUCAUCACAGAAAUAGCUAGGACAUCCAGCUGAGCGUUUGCCUGAGUGAGCUUCAAGGGACUUCCACCAUCUUGAACUGUAAUUAGCUGAGAGCAGCACAGCAGUUCUCCCCAGAGCAGUUGAACCAGAUCCAGAAAGUACUGUACAUCUAAUCUUCUCCAGUUUGGGAUCCUACCCAGAACCUAAAGAAUAGGAGUGAGUUUGGCUCUAACGCCCCCCUCCCCUUCUCCCAAACUCUGCAUGAUGAGAGUUGCGGAAUGCUCUCAACUUCCAUUCGCAUCCCUGGGAGUUGAAGGCACAUUGCAAGAUCAGGUUUGUGACGGCAGGCUGUGGUGACCAGGAAGAGCUAUCACAGGAAGCCAUCUGUACAAAGCUAGCCUAUCAAUGUGCUGUUUGCAGUUGGGGGUCUACAGGAAGCCAGCCAUACAGGAAGUCAAGUCAGGCCAGCUGCAUUCUCAAACAUGAUUCUGUCCCUGACAGUUUUCUCCUUGACAUUGUCUAUAAAUGACACUUGGGAGGAAGGCGUUGUUGACGGGAAGUCCACUUGAAGUAGACAUAAAUAUAAAAAUACAAUGAUGCCCUUUUCCUGGGCAGAGGAAUUUUUUUCCAUGCAGAAAUUUAUGCUUUAGUGGUUCGGUUAAUUCACAAGAACACAGAGGAAAAAAAUAGGAUCAGUUUUCUGGGGUAAAAGAGACACAGAAACUGAGACAAGAAGGUUGUUUGAAUAGGGAGGGGUGAAGUCCACCAAGGACCCUCAACUCAUGGGAAAGCAACAAUGCAGAAGACUCCGAUCAGAUCCCAAUGGAGAGUCCUUGCUCUGCGUCGCUGAAGAAAGUGGGCCAAUCCCAGGUCUCCUGCUUUGGAAUUAACAAUGUAUUUUCCAGGGCUAAAUAAUGACUAUUCUCUUGCUGCCCUCAAUCGUUCCUGCUAUGGUGGGCAGGAAAAUGCUUGGGAAUUAUGUUGUUGAGAAUGAAAACAGUUAAAUUGUUCACAACUAUGUUGAGAACAAAACAUAUCAGGGAAAAUAUCCAACUUGUAAAUAUUUUUCCCAGUUCCAGGCCAUCUGCUGUGCUUUUUGUCUUGUAAAAAUCUUCAGAAAAUCCUCAGAACAAAUAUUAAUAGAAAAACAUAUUCGUUCAGAAUCAAAUACCCUGUUUACAUUUAUCUCAUACUGAUUAUAAAUCAAGAGGAUUCUGCAAUCAUUUUUUAUCAAAACAGUGUAGCCAAAAGGAAUAGAAGGAUUAUGGCUUUAGCAUUCCUAGCAUUUUUCUUUAUAUCAUCUGAAAGUGACCAAAAGAAAUCCACUCUUCGUACAGAACACGAAUUUGUAAGCUGAAAGAAUGUAAUUUCUGCAAUAUUUAUUUUAGAAAGGAAACAAAGAUGUAUUUCCCCCAAAAGCUCAUUUUAGCUAUAUCUACUACUGCUGUGUGCAUCAGGUGGCUGCAUAUUGGUUACAUCCUAUUUGAGGACACAGGCUUUGGUGCAAAAUAUAUGUUCCCUAAUAUAGUAAGUAAGAGUUAAGGGGACUAGGAAUUCAGAAAAUAAGAAGGCAUUGAAGACAUCUCUGAUUCUGAAAUGGAAAAUCCAAACAUAGUGAUUCCCUAAUAAAUAUCUUUCUGCCAAGGUGUCACACUAAGGUGACAUUAAUGACCUACUGGCUUCCUGGCUGCAGAACAACAGUCAUAUGAGUAGGAGAAAUUGUGAAAUAAACUCAAUCGGGGCAGAAAUGAGGAAGGAAACAACUUGUUAAAUCAUUUUAUUUUCUAAGCUCACACUGUUCCUUACAGAUAGAGACUUAGAAUCGGAGCUGAUUACAGUGCAAUGAUUUGAUUAAAAGAGAGGGGAGAGAGAUCGAGCGGGAUCGAGAGAGAGAGAUUUAACAGAGCGAUUUCUAUCAGUUUCAAAGAGUACCCUGAUCUUGCAUUUCAUUUUGCAUAGCGGGAUCAGGAAUUCUAAAGGGCAUUUAUCUUUAACUCUGUAUGGAUCAGAUAUUGACCUCAGUGGUACUAGUGUAACUCCACUGGCUUCACACUGCAGUACCAGUGGAAUUAUUCCAAAUUUACAUCAGUGUAAAUGAGUGCAGUAUUUGAGACUAAACGAAUUAACAGAGGGGUUGUUUUGAAGCUAGUUUGUACAUUGCUAGUUUCCCUUCUUGGGGGUUAUACAACAUUUGUUGAUAAUUUACACUGCAUCUCAACCCUACAUAUUCCAUCCAUCACAUUUACUGUUUAAUGCAAUCCAUAGUUUGAAAGUUAAUGGGCUGAACUUUGCUCACAGUAGAACUCCUGGAAUGCCAUUGAGAUCUAGGCACUGCGACUAUCACUCCUUUUGCAGCUCCUGACAAAUCUGGGCACCUCUGUACUGCUGCAGAAGGUUAAAGCAACUUUUCUUUUGUAUUACCCAGUAAUCUUUAUGCUGAGUGGUAAAGUUAAUAUACAGGACUGUCAUUCACCACAUAGGUUGCUGAACAGUCUUCAGAGUACAAUGACUUUCAGUUACUACCAGCCUAGAGCAGAUUUGAAUCAGUGAUCUAGAGGUGAAAGAAUUCCACAUCCAUUUGUUUCUCAGUUGCAGAGCACUUCCAAGGUAAAGAGCAAUCACGGAACAGGAAAUAGAAUCACCAUUAUUUUUAAAUGAAUCAUUAAAAAGAACCUGGGAUUCCUGAUUCCAGUCCCCUGUUAUAACCAUUAGAAAGCAUCUCCACUCCCUCAACCCUGUAACUGUCAAGAUCUGCAGUUCUCUUGAGGCUUGGUAAAAAGAAAAUAGCGGGGAAAUGUUUAUUAGACAGCUCUGGUUUUUGGUGUUCUUGUUCUUUUUAAUAAAGAUGAAAACAGGAUUCUUAAGGAGAGCAUUAGUUGCUCCAUACACACAUGCAUUGAGAAGAGAAAUUGGAUUCUGGCGAGCACACAGCCACUGGAUAAUAAUACAAAGGAAAGGCUCCUUUAAUCUUCUGCAGCAGUACAGCAGUGCCCAGUAUUGUCAGGAGCUGCGGGAGGAGUGAUGGCUUUGUCGCUGACAGCCUUCUAAUUGGAUGGUAGAGGGGGCCAGGAGAGAACAGCUAUAAAAGAUGUGUGUGCGCCAACAAGUGUGUCUGACAUCAAGAGAGAUCUAUUGAGAAGGGGUAGGGAAAGAACAGCAAUACUGCAAUGCUUGGUGCAUGUAUAAUGUGGCAGGGCCUGCGUUGCAUGGCCAGGAG